AGCAAUGUCAGUGGCGGACGGGUGAGUAACGCGUAGGAACGUGUCUUGAGGUGGGGGACAACCCCGGGAAACUGGGGCUAAUACCGCAUAGGGGCUGAGGCCCAAAGCCGAAAGGCGCCUUUGGAGCGGCCUGCGUCCGAUUAGGUAGUUGGUGGGGUAAAGGCCUACCAAGCCUGCGAUCGGUAGCUGGUCUGAGAGGACGACCAGCCACACUGGGACUGAGACACGGCCCAGACUCCUACGGGAGGCAGCAGUGGGGAAUAUUGGACAAUGGGCGAAAGCCUGAUCCAGCAAUGCCGCGUGGGUGAAGAAGGUCUUCGGAUCGUAAAGCCCUUUCGACGGGGACGAUGAUGACGGUACCCGUAGAAGAAGCCCCGGCUAACUUCGUGCCAGCAGCCGCGGUAAUACGAAGGGGGCUAGCGUUGCUCGGAAUUACUGGGCGUAAAGGGCGCGUAGGCGGCGGCCCAAGUCAGGCGUGAAAUUCCUGGGCUCAACCUGGGGACUGCGCUUGAUACUGGGUUGCUUGAGGAUGGAAGAGGCUCGUGGAAUUCCCAGUGUAGAGGUGAAAUUCGUAGAUAUUGGGAAGAACACCGGUGGCGAA
rnacentral:rRNA from 1 species